UUGGUAGUUAAUUUUUCUUCAAUAUUUUCUUGCGCAUUACAUUUUCUAAGCAACCAAGCACCAUUUUCUUCUUUAAAGUCUCAAGUAAAAUACCAUUUUUCUUCUUAAAAUUUGGUUUAGUUAUUGAGCGGGCCACUUGGGAGUUGCGAGGGAUAGCUAGAUCGAAGCUAAAAAUAUUGGGGGAACAUCGACUAGCAAAGACAAAGUCAAGGAGAAGAUCACAUAAUCGAUGCUGUGGUGAACCAACAUGAGUACUCUGUGUACGACUCUUGAAAACAAGGUCGCGCACGACUGAAAGCCAAGUAAGACGUGUGAACCCCAUCUUAACGUUGUGUAUUAAACUUAUGCAUUGCGCAUAUAACAUCUCGAUUUUGGGCCUAGUCGGAAUAGUGGUUUCGAGACCACAAAUCUGAUGAGGAAAAAUUUAUUUUUCUUAUAUUUUUAUGGUCUAUGAUUUCACAAAAUGAUUUCGUGAAAAUUUAGUUCAAAAAUUUCGACGUUUGGGCACUCAAUUUAGUCAAAAAGACUAAAUUGUAAAAAGUGCAAAAGGUUGAUUCUACGUGUUAGUGGUGUCCAAUUGUUAUGAAAUUUUAAAUUGGAGGUCCUUAUAUGGGAAUUAGACCAUUGGUUAAUUUGGUAGACAAAAAUGGACAUGGUUAGGCAUGUUUCUAAAGUUUUUCAUUAAGGGCAUUUUGGUCAUUUAGUUAUUAAAAUGAAUUAAAAACAAAAUUAAAAGCAAAUUUUUCUCCAUCUUCAACCCCAUGGCCAAAUUUCACAAGGGGAAACAAUGGCUAUGGUUUUUCAAGCUUCCAAGCUCGAUUAUCACGAAGAAAGAAAUUCGGAGCUAGACUGGGGAAAGAAAAAGAUUGCGGACUAAAGUGUUAGAUUUGACCAUAUUUUUGUACUGAGGUAAGUUUAUAGUAAAUAAAUGUAAUAUUUUGAUAAUUAUUAUUAAUGCUGUUAUUUUUCAGCAAUUAUAUAUUUAUUUCAUGAAAA